AUUGAACGCUGGCGGCAGGCCUAACACAUGCAAGUCGAACGAGUGGCGGACGGGUGAGUAAUGUCUGGGAAACUGCCUGAUGGAGGGGGAUAACUACUGGAAACGGUAGCUAAUACCGCAUACCCUCGGAUGUGCCCAGAUGGGAUUAGCUAGUAGGUGGGGUAAAGGAUCACCUAGGCGACGAUCCCUAGCUGGUCUGAGAGGAUGACAAGGCACACGAUAACGUAGACACGGUCCAGACUCCUACGGGAGGCAGCAGUGGGGAAUAUGGCACAAUGGGCGCAAGCCUGAGGCAGCCAUGCCGCGUGUAUGAAGCAGGCCUUCGGGUUGUAAAGUACUUUCAGCGGAGAGGCGUUACCCGCAGAAGAAGCACCGGCUAACUCCGUGCCAGCAGCCGCGGUAAUAC
rnacentral:rRNA from 1 species